UGCAGAAUCCCGUGAACCAUCGAGUUUUUGAACGCAAGUUGCGCCCGAAGCCGUCUCGGCGGUGGAGGGCACGUCUGCCUGGGUGUCAAGAAACGUCGCCAAACGUCCCUCUCCGCACCCUCCCGCCCGAGGGGGGAAGCAUCGAGGGGGCGGGCGGAUAUUGGCCUCCCGUGCGCGGUUGCUCGCGGUUGGCCCAAAAGAGCGUACCCCGACGAGGCAGCCACGACGUGCGGUGGCAGAAAGCGCGUAUGCUCUCCUCGAACACCGUCGUGGGCCGGCCUCGUGGGGCGGGAAAGACCAAGGCCCCGGAUGCGAAUUCGUGUUUCGCGAAGCGACCCCAGGUCAGGCGGGAGCACCCGCUGAGUUUAAGCAUAUCAAUAAGCGGAGGAAAAGAAACUUACGAGGAUUCCCCUAGUAACGGCGAGCGAACCGGGAACAGCCCAGCUUGAGAAUCGGAUGCCCCCGGCGUUCGA
rnacentral:rRNA from 1 species